rnacentral:rRNA from 1 species
GGAUUAACGCUGGCGGUACGUCUAAUACAUGCAAGUCGAACGAAACAUAGUGCUUGCACUAAUGUUUAGUGGCGAACGGGUGAGUAACACGUAGGUAACCUGCCCUUAAGAUGAGGAUAACAGUUAGAAAUGACUGCUAAUACUGAAUAAGGAAUGAAGAUGGCAUCAAAAACAUUUUAAAGGUCCGAAUGGAUCGCUUAAGGAGGGGCCUGCGGCGCAUUAGCUAGUUGGUGAGAUAAUAGCCCACCAAGGCAAUGAUGCGUAGCCGGACUGAGAGGUUGAACGGCCACAUUGGGACUGAGAGACGGCCCAAACUCCUACGGGAGGCAGCAGUAGAGAAUCUUCGGCAAUGGGGGAAACCCUGACCGAGCGAUACCGCGUGAAUGAAGACAUACUUCUAGUACGUAAAAUUCUUUUAUUUAGGAAGAACAUAUUGUAUAGGAAAUGAUAUGAUAUUGACGGUACUAAAUGAAUAAGCCCCGGCUAACUAUGUGCCAGCAGCCGCGGUAAUACAUAGGGGGCAAGCGUUAUCCGGAAUUAUUGGGCGUAAAGGGUGCGUAGGCGGUUUUUUAAGUUCAAGGUUUAAAUCCAAAGCUCAACUUUGGAACGCUUUGAAAACUGGGAGACUAGAGUUAGGUAGAGGCAAGUGGAAUUCCAUGUGUAGCGGUAAAAUGCGUAAAUAUAUGGAGGAACACCAGUGGCGAAGGCGGCUUGCUGGGCCUAUACUGACGCUGAGGCACGAAAGCGUGGGGAGCAAACAGGAUUAGAUACCCUGGUAGUCCACGCCGUAAACGAUGAGUACUAGGUGUCGGGGAACCCGGUGCCGCAGUUAACGCAAUAAGUACUCCGCCUGAGUAGUACGUGCGCAAGCAUAAAACUCAAAGGAAUUGGCGGGACCUCGCACAAGCGGUGGAUCAUGUUGUUUAAUUCGACGAUACGCGAAGAACCUUACCAGGUCUUGACAUCCCGGGCAAAGAUAUAGAGAUAUAUUGGAGGUUAUCCCGGAGACAGGUGGUGCAUGGUUGUCGUCAGCUCGUGUCGUGAGAUGUUGGGUUAAGUCCCGCAACGAGCGCAACUCUUAUUGUUAAUUGCCAUCAUUAAGUUGGGCACUUUAACAAGACUGCCAGUGACAAACUGGAGGAAGGUGAGAAUGACGUCAAAUCAUCAUGCCCCUUAUGACCUGGGCUACAAACGUGAUACAAUGGUUGGAACAGAGGGAGGCGAAGGAGCGAUCUGGAGCAAAUCCCAAAAAGACAAUCUCAGUUCGGAUUGAAGUCUGCAACUCGACUUCAUGAAGCAGGAAUCGCUAGUAAUCGCAGAUCAGAACGCUGCGGUGAAUACGUUCUCGAGGUUUGCACACACCGCCCGUCAAACCACGAAAGUUAGUAAUACCCAAAACCGGUGGCCUAACCGUAAGGAGGGAGCCGUCUAAGGUAGGGCUAAUGAUUGGGGUUAAGUCGUAACAAGGUAUCCCUACGAGAACGUGGGGAUGGAUCACCUCCUUUCUAAGGAGUAAAACAUUUACACAUUAAAAUAGCUAUUUUAUUAUUCGGUUUUCAAAGAC